rnacentral:lncRNA from 1 species
UUGGUUUUCCCUCUGGAUUUACAUGAAUCAUCCAAAAUUCAGGUAUGUUUUUUAUCCAAGCAUAAACCAAAGUCUUACGGCCUAUUGUAUUGCUGACAUGUAAAUUCAUGUGAUGUCCUAUUUUUUUGUUGGUUGAUAACUUGAUAUAAUGUAACACUCAUCAUUUUAUUUCCCUGCCAUGAUACUUGGACAAAGACACAAACCAAUAAGAAUUUUGGUCUGAUUUGGUUUAGUUAAAGAGGAUUAGCUGGUAUUGGAUGGAGGUGUAAAACUUAAUAUACUACUUCCAAGUUAGUUUUUAGUAUACUUCUUAUGGCCUCGUAACAAUCUUGAAGAUCAUUAAUGCCUCUAAUAUUUAGUUAGGUGGUUUUGAAUGAUUUUUUUGUGUGUAUGUUGAUUAAUGUGUAGGUAGUGGCUGUACUGAUCUUGCAUGUGCCGCUGUGAAAGAUGCAUGCUCAAUAGCGUAAUUGGUAUAUUAUUAUUAUUUACUAAUUGUAAGCACCAUACGAGGUUCCACGUUAAAUCUGGAGGUUAGAAAAUUCCAUCCGUGGGAUUAACUAAUGACGGAAAAAUAACCAUCGGAUGAUAUGCCUACUCAGCGUCUUCCACCCAUGUGAGAGAGAAGGACUAUAAUCACUUUUUACGGGAGGAUUCUAAUUACUUUCGGUCUCCUUACAAAUAAAAGCCUGGAAAUUGAAGACGAGAUACAUCUAAUCCUCACCUACUGCUACUAAUUGAUUUGUCGGUGCAAGCGCUGGAGGAGAAAUGGCAUACUGUCCUCAACUGCCUCGACGCGCGACAGCACCAGCCGAUCUUCUUUGAGGUCCGACGUCGCGGCCAUGAAAUCGAAUCUCACUGUAUGCACCAGCGGUCGCCCCCAUGAGGAUUUUUAUAUUUUUUUUCUGCGAGUUGUCGUAAUCUUGGAUGAACGUGUGAAUCUGCAUCACGAUUGCGUAUAUAUACACAUUUGCUACUGGCCAUGCCAUCUACGCAAAAAAAUAAAAAAUAGCAUGAUUUAUUAUUGUACGGAUUAGUUCUGCUACAGAAUUAAGGAUCUGGUCUAGAAUUUUGUACUCUUUCUGCUCAUGCACCAACUUGUCGAAUCGAGCAUGCCAUCAACACUAGAUUGUGAUUUUGUCCUUUUGACUGAUAGCAUCGUUCUUUAGAUCCCCUUACCGAAGUUCAGUUCUAGCUCCAAAGCAAGCAUUUGAAUUAGUACUAAUCAUGUAGGUACCAGUGGUUAGUUAACAUUUAUAGUAACGAAUUUUUAUGUGUUCACUUCAAACCUGCAUCUGAUUUUGUUCUAUAGGACCUUUAUCUAAGACUAUGUUCUGGGUUACAGGAAAAAAACUAGCAUGUGAACUUUAGUUGCUUCAUAUGGCCAUGAGAUAGUGGUACAUGCCCUCUCCUUAUCUGGCUUUUUUUUAUUUGUUAUAGUACACAAUUGAACAACUAUAUAUGGCAACUACAAAAAUAUUUGUUUGCAUUUGAAACAUAUAUAAUCUUCUUCUUUAGAAAUUAUGUGAGUAUGAAGCAAAAGAAAGGUGUUAGUCCCAAGAGCCCUCCGAAUUCUCUCAAAAGUACAAAAAAAACUGCAAUAGCAACACAAAAAUUACACAUGUACAUGUUCUAAGGAAAGCAAUGUUUUAUUUCAUUCGGCUGGUAUGCAAGCACAUGAUUCCAAAAGGAUAAAUGACUUGCAGUUUCAGACUCUUUUCUUUCCCAUCUGCAUGUGUUCUUGUUAGUUCAGCAUAAGAUACUAGUUGCUACGUUUCUAUAAUACAAACCGAAGGGACCAAAAGAAACCAUUUGCAAGUGAACAUUAGCUGCUCACUUUAUAAUAUCUUAUUAUUAUUCAUCUGUUCUAAAUGGUCAUUUGCAGAUCUCGAUAUCCUAAGACUGAUUCCGGCGCAAUGUCUCCAUCCAAGCAUGGCAAAGUUUGUUUCGGACGCUGCUUGAGAGGUAACUAAUUACUACAAAGUUGCGGCUCCGGCGUCUCUAUUUGUUAGGCUCUCUUUCUCCAAAAAUCAAGUUGUUCCAUGGAUGAUGUUUAGCAAGGAUCCCAUCAAGGAUACCGACUUGGUGGUGCUUGAUAGAGGUUGGCCCCGUUGCACUCACAAUUCCUCUCUACCUAACUUUACAAAAAAUCAUUGUGUUUUCUCUCUCCCUCUUUCUUUUGAUUGCUGCUAUGAUAUGCAUGUAUUGUUUGCAGGGAAAUCAAUCAUGUAUACUACCAAAUACCUCAAGAACUAGAAAAGUACUUAACGGAUGCAGUGGUGUGUCAAGAAGACGCAUGCUUUCCAUGAGGCAUAGCCGGAAGGUCAGCAACAUUAUUGCUUUCUUUCAAAUAGAAAAAUUAUUGCUUUUCUGUUUGCAGUUAGUAUAACUCUUUGGAUGGUCUAUUUACCUUUUGAUAUGGAUGCAAUGGAUGUAGAAAAAUAAGAUUGUGUCUUCUCUCUUUCUAUACCCACGGGAUUAAUUUCACGUAGUUUUGAGAGGUACUUCAUAAAUGCAUGUCUUCAGAGAAGGUUAAUUAUGUGUCAAAGAUUAAUNNNNNNNNNNNNNNNNNNNNNNNNNNNNNNNNNNNNNNNNNNNNNNNNNNNNNNNNNNNNNNNNNNNNNNNNNNNNNNNNNNNNNNNNNNNNNNNNNNNNNNNNNNNNNNNNNNNNNNNNNNNNNNNNNNNNNNNNNNNNNNNNNNNNNNNNNNNNNNNNNNNNNNNNNNNNNNNNNNNNNNNNNNNNNNNNNNNNNNNNNNNNNNNNNNNNNNNNNNNNNNNNNNNNNNNNNNNNNNNNNNNNNNNNNNNNNNNNNNNNNNNNNNNNNNNNNNNNNNNNNNNNNNNNNNNNNNNNNNNNNNNNNNCAUCUAUUGCUUUGAUUAUUGGUUUGUGCUGUAAUAGGAAUUCUGAUAUUGGGAAAAGUUCAGUAGUAUAAUAGUCACAAUAUGAUUACAAAAAACUUAUUAUAGGAAAAAUCUUUGUUCGAAGAAUACAUUAUCCCGCGGGCAGGUAGUUAUGGAAUCACACCUAUGGACAUAAUUUCUUUUUAAUACCCCAAUAAUUUUUGUCUUGGGCCCAUGAUAUCCAAUCAAAUAGCGCCAUGUCAUUCCUAUAAGCUAAUUCCAUAAAGAAAUUCCAUAGGUGUAGCAAAGCUGAUACCUUAUUUUACUUGGUCAAGUCAAGGCAUAUCAGUUCUGAUCAUCAUCUAAGUGUUACCCGUGGAAUAUUAUGCUUAAUUUCCCUUUUGGCUAUUUCCAUUUUUGCUAAAAGUAUAAAUAAAGUGCGGCAGAAAUAUUUAUUUGGUAAAUUUGAUUUGAGGUGUAGCUUAAGCUAGAGGAAACAACAUUCUAUGACAUGCAAAAAUAUGUCAUCUUGCUAAUGUAAAGAUUUUCAAACAAACAAAGCUCCUUCAUCAUGUGCAAGACUAAUACUUUCAUACGCUCUUGUGAUGUUUUUGAUUCUAUGCAUUGUAUGAACAACUGUAAUACAGUGACAUGUGUGAAAAGUGUUAGCUUAAGGAGGACACCAUUAUUUGGGUGGAAGAGAUUAUUGGGAUUGUUAUGCUGGCAAGUAAAUAGGACAUAUUUUUUCAUGCUUUCGUCAAUCAGAACGUAAGAUGUUCAUGCAAUAGCUCGGAAACUUGCAUAUCAAGUGCUACUACAGUACUACUGAAGUCAAAACAUGAUUGCACUUCACUUGGUUUCAAAGAAAAAAAGUUCUAUCAUGUGGUUUGCCUCAUGCCCCCCCUUCUUAUGUAAGUUACUAUAACCAUGUUUGAGCUAUAAAGAUCUCUCAUUUCUUUGCAACAGAACUUGACAUAUCUGAUAAGGGGAUGAUGAAUAAUGUUUCUCAUUAAUACAUUGUGUUUGAUUUUAGUCUCAGCUUAGGUACUCAAAAUAUAGAAGAAGAAUUUUGUCAAAGGAAGUUAGUCCCUGCUACCUCUUGAGCUUGCGUUGGUUUUUCCCUUGAAGAGGAAAGGGUGAUGCAGCAAAGUAGCGUAAGUAUUUUCCUCAGUUUGAGAACCAAGGUAUCAAUCCAGUAGGAGACAACGCAUAAGUCACCGAAUACCUGCACAAACAAUCAACAACUUGCACCCAACGUGAUAAAGGGGUUGUCAAUCCCUUCACAGUCACUUGCAAAAGUGAGAUAUGAUAGAGAUAGAUAAACGGUAAAGUAAAUAUUUUUGGUAUUUUUGGUUUAUAGAACGGAAAGUAAGAUGUAAAAGAGAUUCAAUAUAACAGAAAAGAGACCCGGGGCCCAUAGGUUUCACUAGUGGCUUCUCUCAAGAUAGCAAAUAUUACAGUGGGUGAACAAAUUACUGCCGAACAAUUGAUAGAAAAGCGCAUAGUUAUGACAAUAUCUAUGGCAAUGAUCAUGAACAUAGGCAUCACAUCCGUGUCAAGUACACCGAAACGAUUCUGCAUCUACUACUAUUACUCCACACAUCGACCGAACCCUGCCUGCAUCUAGAGUAUUAAAUUCAUAAAGAACAGAGUAAUGCAUUAAGUAAGAUGACAUGAUGUAGAGGAAUUAACUCAAGCAAUAUGAUGAAAACCCCAUCUUUUUAUCAUGGAUGGCAACAAUACAAUACGUGCCUUGCUGCCCCUACUGUCACUGGGAAAGGACACCGCAAGAUUGAACCCAAAGCUAAGCACUUCUCCCUUUGCAAGAAAGAUCAAUCUAGUAGGCCAAACUAAACCGAAAAUUCGAAGAGACUUGCAAAGAUAUCAAAUCAUGCAUAUAAGAAUUCAGAGAAGAACCAAAUAAUAUUCAUAGAAUCUAAUCAUAAAUCCACAAUUCAUCUGAUCUUGGCAAACACACCGCAAAAGAAUAUUACAUCAAAUAGAUCUCCAAGAACAUGGUAUUGAGAAUCAAAGAGAGAGAAGAAGCCAUCUAGCUACUAGCUAUGGACCCGUAGGUCUGUGGUAAACUACUCACGCUUCAUCGGAGAGGUAAUGGUGUUGAUGUAGAAGCACUCCGUGAUCGAAUCCCCCUCCGGUAGGACGCCGGAAAAGGCUCCCAAAUGGGAUCUCACGGGUACAGAAGGUUGCGGCGGUGGAAAAGUGGUUUCGUGGCUCCCGUGGAUGUUUUCAGGGUAUAAGAGUAUAUAUAGGCGAAGGAGCUAGGUCAGGAGACCCACGAGGGGCCCACGAGGUAGGGGGCGCCCUACCCCCUGGGGCGCGCCAUCCUGCCUCAUGGCCGCCUCUUUGCGUCUCCGACUUCAUCUCCAAGUCUUCUAGUUUCCUUCUAGUCCAAGAAAGAUCAUCACGAAAGUUUCAUUCCGUUUGGUAUUCCUCUUCUGCGAUACUCUAAAAUAGGUAAAAAAAAAUAGAAAUUGGUACUGUGCUCUCGGUUAAUAGGUUAGUCCCAAAAAUAAUAUAAAAUAGCAUAUAAAUGCCUAUGAAACAUCUAAAACAGAUAAUAUAAUAGCAUGGAACAAUAAAAAAUUACAGAUACGUUGGAGACGUAUCAGUCCCUUUGGUGUAAUAGUGUGAUUUAACUUGUAUGCAUGGCUACAAUUUUCAUUUAUGUAGUUAUUAAUUAUAAUCAGUGAAGAUAAUAUAUUGGAGAAUGAUAAUAUAUCUCGACUAUUCCCGCGGCCUCCUCCCAAGCUCUCGCCCUCUUCCCAAUGAAAAACUCUAACCCGGAACAUGUUCUCCAAAAUUCUUGAACACAAAAAAAUACCAAACAGAGCAUUCCCUCAAACAAAACAAAAAACCUAUUGAAAAUUACAAACAAGAGCAUUCCCUCCAAAAAAUGCCGGCACAACCAAAAUAUAAUUCAUUCGGCAGUAGGACUACAGAAAAAUUAUGUCAUGGCUUGAUUAGUCUUUCCUUAAGAAAAUACCUAUUCUGCAUCAAAGCACUGAUAUUCUCAUCACUGUAAUGGACACCAUAAUCAGUGUCAAAGUGGUCCACGGUGGUCGAAUAGAUAAGGAGCAGGAGAAGAUUGUCAUGGUUAUCACACACAUGGGGAAACCACAAGAUUGACACAAACAUUUACAAAGUAGGAAAAUAAUUUCUUUAGUUCCUUGAACACUAUUGUUUUCUUCCAUGGCAAUGCAAGGGGUAUUGUGUACUAGGUUUAUUGAAGUUUAAAUAGGCGCCCAAGCGUCGGUAAGGUGGGAUGGUACACUUUUGUAGCGAUGACAAUUGCUACAGCGGAGGAUAAGAGAAUGAACGCGGAGGGGAAGAAGUGGCAGGACAAACAUGCCACGUUAUCUUCUUGCAAGGAGUGAUGGCUGUCAGGGAGGAAAGAAGUGGGAGAGUGAAUUGAUAUGUGUUGCUAUAUAGAUGGAAACCAUGCCAUCACAUUAGAUACACGUCUUAAUUAGAUCAAUUGUUUAAUUGGUAUGUCGGCAAUUUUUUAUUCUGUGGCAACACACGAGCAAUAAACUAGUUGAACUUUAGUAACUGAAUUGGACAACAUGUCUGCUUCUACAUAUUUAAUAUGAUGACAUGGUGAUGAUUGUCCUAUUGGCUUGGACUAAUAUAAUAAAGUUAACAUACCAGCUAACAUAUAUUGUCCAUGUUUUGUAUGCUUGAACUAUUUUUAGAAAUGUUAGUUUUUUUGCCUACUCCCCUUUAAGCACCCCAUCCCAUACAUACCCACUAAAUGAUAGUAAAAGCCAAAUACACAGAUAAUGAGUAAUCCUAGUUUGUCUUCAUAUACUUCUAAUUUAGCAAGCACUAACAGUAUGAAAGACGACAUUUUGAACCGAUGCCAAUCAUUUAACAUCUUUACCUUACCUUUAAAAAAAAUCUGUGUACAUUAUAUUCUUAAUCAUACCAUCCUCGUUGGUUUCUCCGUCAUCUACUAUUAACCAUAGUCCAUCUCUUCGUGUGACUCUUGAGAUAGCCACAUAUAUUGUCCGUGCAUGAAACCUUGUUUUGGCAGAUAUUGUCCUACUUUCUUUAGAGGUUGCCCUUGACUCUUGUUGAUUUCCACAGCAAAGCACACCGAUAUAGGAUAUUGUCUUCUUUUUAGCAAGAACCGCCAUGCCGAUUUAGCCGGUGACAUUAUUAUUCUUGGAAUAUAUACUUUGUGACCUACUUGUGCUCCUGUCAUGAUCCGUGCUUUGAUGAAUCUUCUUCAAAGUUGACUUAUUGUCAUCCGUGGACCAUUGCAUAACCCAACACUUUGGUUAUUAUUAGUUAGUAGCAUCACAGGUAGUCCUACUUUCAGUCUGAGAUCAUAAUUUGGUAUUCCAGGAAUUAUUAGGCUGUUUAGGAACUCUGUUGGAUAUAUAGCAUAUGUGUAUCAUCACUUAAGAGUAAUCGCUUUGCAUACAGUGUCGCAGCUUCGAUAUAUUGUUUCCUCGCCUUCUAUUUUGUCCAUUAUAUAUAUUGCGGAAGUCCCCUCCUAGAACCAUUGUCAUGCUGCCGAAGGGUCUCUCAUUGUUGUUAUAAUUUGUAUUCCUUAGUAUAUCUCUUAGGGUUCUGUCUAGUGCCUCAAAACAUAUUUUGUUUGCCUUUGGAGCCUCAUCCCACAGAAUUAGUGAUGUUUUAUUUAUUAGUUCGGGCAAGUGUGAACCUUUUUUGAUGUCACAUGUUCACUCUUCUGUAAGGAUUAAAGGUAUAUGGAACCUUGAGUGUGCUUUUCUACCUCUUUGUAGAAGUAGCGCUACAAUACCACAUGAUGUCACUGCUUGUACUAUCUUUCCUUCUGAACGUAAUUUUGUUGUGAUUGCUUUCAAUAGUCUUCCCUGUACCGCGAUAUCCAUCUAUAAAAAAUGUUUUCUCAAAUCCUUGUCAACUGAUUCUAUUAUGUAUCCAAAUGCGCGCCGUUGUUCGCUGUUUAGAUUACACAAACAUACAUAGGUGUUCAACUUUUAGCUCUUCUUUGUUGUAGUUCAGCUCUUCAUUGAGUAGCCUGUUUCCAAGUUCUUUUAGUCCUGAGGAGUUCGGCAGUUCGAUUCCAGGGUAUUCCUUGAGUGUCUGUCCAGGCUGUCUCAUAAGCUUUUCAAUUUCUAGCAAGCUGCCAUCUUUCUUCUGUCUAUCUGUUAGACGUAGUGUAGGAUAGUUCAAGAUUUUUAUCUGUUUGCAUUCCAUGUCUUCACUUAAAACUUCCCAACAUGAUUCCCACAUCUUUGUUGGAUCUGUAACCUUGCAGUCACAUAAGAUGGUUGUGAAAAGUUGUCGUAGCUGGUUUCCAGUUGCCUGAUUUGAUGCCUUUUUGAUACAUUUAGUGCAGUCUUUGUCGUCAUCAAGAAAUCCUAAUGCUUCACACGCCGCCUUGUAUGAUUUAUAGACAUCUCCAUUUACCUUUCUUAUGUCUUCAAAAGAUGUGCAUCCUUUGACGACGUUAAGUAGCAUUCUCAUGUAGUAUUUCUGACCACUUGCUGGAUGGGCAUAGUAAAUCCACUUGCUGGAUGCCCUUUGUUCCUGUUCCCCUUUUCCCCCCCUUUUCCAUACCCAUUUUGCCUGGAACUCUGCAUCUGUUAAUUAUCUGGCUUCUUCAUAGUGCUUGUUUGUUUCCAUACACUUCUUAAAUUUAGUUAUUCCUGCCCUUUCGUUUCUUACUAUCUUUGUUAAGUCAGUGGAGUCCGAGAAGAUGACAUGUUCUUUAUUGUGUAGAUAACCGCAACUAAAAUAGUAGGUGUAAGUUAAAUUGCGAGGAAUAGUAAAUAACAGUUUAUUAUAAUUUAGCAGGCUAUUACAUGCUUGUGUUCUUCCUAAGUAUUCUCUUUCCUUUAUGUCUCGCAUGAACUCCUUGAGCUUUAUGUGGAACACUCGAUCAACAAUGUCAGGUCGCUCUGAUGCUGUUUGCCCUACCUCUUUGAGCUUUAUUUUGAGUUUUGACUGCUCUGACAAUCUUAUUAGGCCUUUAUACAUUAUCUUUUUGUUGGAUUCAUUUUUUUGCAGGUUUUGCGCACUGGUAGAUCAUGCCCAUAUGUAUUCUGAGUUGCUGGCCGGCGGCGGAUUAUAAACUAGCGUGACCGACGAUGGCAGAUUAAUAAUCUAGCGUGAAGUAUUCGGUCGUGGCUACGCAAAUCGGGUGCAUGUGAUGUGCGUCUCUGGCUGGCCGUGGAUUAAUGAACUAGCCUGUGUCAGGGUUUAAUCUGUUGGGGGGAGGUCGCCGGCGAGCUGGGCUGUCCAACAAAAAUGUGGUUCGCCGGCUAGCUGCUCACCUUGCAAAGGCUGACGUCGUAGCUGUAUUUGGUUCAAGUGCGAUUUAGUUGAGUGCACGCAUGUACAAUUGUAUUACCACGUGAGUUCUUCACCUCAGGCGUUUGAGCAUCUCUAGCAGACCCGCACCCGCCGACCCGCAUUUCACGUUUGCAGUUCGCGAAAAAAACUGUUUUGCAGUCUGCAGCGAAAAGNNNNNNNNNNNNNNNNNNNNNNNNNNNNNNNNNNNNNNNNNNNNNNNNNNNNNNNNNNNNNNNNNNNNNNNNNNNNNNNNNNNNNNNNNNNNNNNNNNNNNNNNNNNNNNNNNNNNNNNNNNNNNNNNNNNNNNNNNNNNNNNNNNNNNNNNNNNNNNNNNNNNNNNNNNNNNNNNNNNNNNNNNNNNNNNNNNNNNNNNNNNNNNNNNNNNNNNNNNNNNNNNNNNNNNNNNNNNNNNNNNNNNNNNNNNNNNNNNNNNNNNNNNNNNNNNNNNNNNNNNNNNNNNNNNNNNNNNNNNNNNNNNNNNNNNNNNNNNNNNNNNNNNNNNNNNNNNNNNNNNNNNNNNNNNNNNNNNNAAAUUUGCACCUCAAUUUGCAUUUUUCAACCACAUUGAAUACAUAGGACAUCACGAAAUCUUUGCUAGAAAAGCAAGACCAAAGAAAACAAGAACCACAAGUAUGCAUUUUAGAAGAUUUUCAACUUCCAUAACUGCUCCCACUAGUUGAAGCAAUAUCUUCUCCGUGCACUCAUUGUUGAUCUGCGGAUUCUUGAUCUUGCAUUCUUCAUUAUUCUUCUUUGGUUCUAAAAAAGUAGACGUUGCCUCCCCUCUAGUUGCACAUGCAUGCGCUUCAUUGCCUUCGAUUGUACUAAGGAGUGCACGAACGUCUAUCAAGUUUCUUUCUAUCAGUAAAUCAAUAUAUUCGCCUUCCCAAAACCAAAAUGAGCAUCCAUCUUCCUACACACAUGAUGAUGUUCGAAAUGAGCAAACAUAAUGAGCUAUCGAAACGAGCCGAAUGAAAAACAGCACGUACCCUGUCGUUUUCGCAUUUGAAGAACACCCAUCCGGGGUGCUUCAGCGUGCCCGAAGUCAGCCGCAACACUGUCCGUGGGCAGUCGUCACACUGUAUGAGCAGCAUCGGCGAGCCAUAGAGCCUCCGCGCAAGGGCCGAGCCCGGCGAACGGACGGCUGAAUCCAUGCCGGCAAACCGUCGGCGGUGGCAAGCGGACAAACCCGCACCUGCAUGCGCCGAUGAUCCUUUGCCGGGGCUGCGCGAGGUGCUCCCCGACCAUUGCAUAGCUUGGCGCAGCCGCCGGCAGCCGGGAAAGCCAAAUCCAGCCGCCCGCGAUGAAGCGCCGUAGAUCCGCAAGGUCCCGACCCGCCGACGCAGGAGGAGGGGGAGGGGAGGGGAGCGGAGGGCAACCUCGUGCGUGUGGUGGCCUUUCGGCGUGCUCCCGCCGGCCAGUUUCGCCGGAAUCUUGGACGGCGGCGGGGCGGCGGGGCGAGGGGAGGUGGUUUCCCCCCACCAACCGCUCCCGCUAUAUGCAGGGCACCGACGGGCCGGGGGGCGGGGGGGACCCGCAAAUACGCGGGUUGGGGCCGAGUUUUUGCCGCGUCCCUCAAAUUUUUUUGCGGGCUGAACGCGUUUGCAGUGUCUGUUCGGGCGGGAUUUUCGCCGCGGACCCGCAUUUUAAUGGUUAUUUUGCAGGUCAGAGCCUUUUGCGGGGUCUGCUAGAGUUACUUUUAGUUGUGCCAUUGAUCAAAGGCUCAUGAUAUUCUAGAGACAGCCGUCGAGUCCCUGUGUUUCAUGUUCACGCGUACACAAACAUUUCUGUGUUUGUUUCUCGAGCUCAAAUGUAGCUAUGAGAACUUUGACAAUAUAAUUAUUGGAAAAUACCGUGGAAAUUAUAACCAUUUAAAAGUAGGCACUGGAAUAACCGUUGGAUACUCCCUCCAUCUUAAAAUUCUUGUCUUACAUUUGUCUAGAUACGGAUGUAUCUAACACUAAAAUGUAACUAGAUGCAUCUGUAUUUAGACAAAUCUAAGACAAGAAUUUUGAGAUGGAGGGAGUAUUAGUUAUUGUCAAAGUAUAAUCUAUAGUCAAUAAUAAAGACAUAAAAAGAUUUAAAGAGGCAGAUCCAGUUAAUCUCGACCAUCAAUUCAUGUCAAUCCGACGGUCAAAAUUGCUUCGGUGACGAGAGCUCAACAUGUUUAACUUGCAAAAAAUAUUAUACCAAAUAUUACUAUCAGUGAUAAUCCUAUAAUUACCCUGCAAUUAAUAUCUUACCUAAUACCAAUGUGCAAUUAAUCUUACCUAAUAUCAACGUGCAAUUAAUAUUUUACCAAAUAUCUCUAAAAAUAUAUUCUACUACCAAAUAUGAACGUGCAUUGAAUCGUACACAUUUAUAUUAGUCGUAAAAAAUCCGUUGAAGUAUAGUCGUUGGACAAUUAUUAUUGGAAUAAAGCCGUUGGACAACUAAUAGUCCCGCGGCCGUUGGUAUAAUAUAGCCGUUGGACAACUAGUAGUCCCGUAGCCGUUGGUAUAAUAUAGCCGUUGGACAAUUAAUAUAUUUCAACGGCUAUAUUUUUAGAAAUAAGGCUAUAAAUACAACAGCUAUGUAUUCAUUUUCAAACAAUGAGAGAGAGAGACCAAGUCUUAAGUCUACAUUUUUCAGCGUGAUCUCCGCUAUAGUUCGAUCUUGGACUUCUCCACCCUCAUAUUUUAGUGUGAUCUUGGCCAGUAAUCCUCCGUCGAUUGGUUGGUGCGCUGCUCUGCUCUCUUCCUCUCUUGAUCCAUCAUGACGUAUAUGAACUCUCUUCAUGUCUUCACAUUCCACUUUUUUUGUGCUGCAGGUGGCCAAGCUAAGACCAUGUCUCCGUCUUGUGGAAGAUGCACACAGCGCGAUGAAUACAACUACAAAAAUUUGGAGGACGAAAAUAAACAUUUCUUGGUGCUUAUGUUGGGUGAUUUUCGACAACAGAUGGUAACUAAUAUCUAUUCUUAGAUUUAGUCCCACUACGGAAUGCAUGUUUUGUUUCUUAUGCGUUUAGGCACUAGCUACUUUCCUAAGCAUUCAACAUGUUUCCUUGAAGCGUGUUUGGACCUUGUUCAGGAACUAUAUCGUUUCAGCAGAUAUAUUUUUAAAUUUCUUUGUGCAGAUAAUCUCAAAAGAGUGGGUGCGAUGCCUGAAAGGCGAGAUUCCGGAUGAGAUCAAGCUAGAAACUCGAAACAGGGCUAGUUACACAAUUAAGGUUGCCAAGUACCAAGAAAAGCAUGUUCUUAAAGUGGGUUGGCCCCAAUUCGUCGAGAACUUCCAUCUACAGUUGGGUGAUUCCUUACUAUUCAGAUACAAUGGAGACUCUCUGUUUAGUAUUGUAAUUUUCGAUAAGCUUGGCCGUGAGAAAGCAUCAUCUGUUCUUGUCGAUCCUUUUCCACCACAAGUCCAAGGAAGACGCAACGAAAUCGGGUAAAGUAUCUAGCUAGUCUUUAAUUAUUAUGUAUGAUACCAUUUCAUAGGGCAAGAACAAAUCUCACUUAAAAUGGCUUUUGCACUGCAGGUCUGCAAGAAAAAUGAACGCGCUUUGUGAUACAUGUGAAAUCUGGGAUGAACAUCACUAUAUGAACUUGGACGAUGAAAAGAAAUAUUUUUUGAUGCGCAUGACGGGUGAUUUCCAAGAUAAGAUGGUAAUUCAUAUUCAAAACAGUACCACUCCCUUAGGUCAUGUGAUUUUGUUGUUUCUCAUGAGACCCGCUGUGUUUUUCUUCGUUCUUCUAGUUUAAAUUAUGUGUACCGCGUGUAGUUAUUGCAUCAUUGUGAACACUUCUCCAGUUAAUUUGAUGACUAUAUUUAUGCCAGCAUGAUAGAACAUUCUAGUAUGUUAGUUCGCCCAAAAAGUCCUUGUGGUAUGGUUGCCGUUUCAUUUUGUAUCUUGUUUACGAACUGUUCUUUCAAAUAAUAUAAUAUCUUGAAACGUAUUUUGGCAGAUCAUCCAAAAGGAAUUUGUUCAGCGUUUCAAGGGAGAGAUCCCAGGAGAGAUUGAACUUGAAACAAAGAAUAAAUGUCGAUACAUAAUUCAAGUUAUCAAGAACCAAGAAGAGCAGCUUGUGCUUGCAGCGGGAUGGGGGAGUUUCGUACAGAAGUUUCGUCUAGAGAUGGGUGACAGAAUAAUAUUAUUCGGAUACAAUGGGAACUCCCGGUUCAGUGUCAUAAUCUUGGAUCAACUUGGGCGUGAGAAGGCUUCAUCCGUUGUCGAUCCGCUCCCGCCUCGUGCACUCGAAAGGCACACAAAUGGUGCUGAAACCGUGAGCCAACAUCCUUCUGAUGGCCCCGUGGACUGUUCUCCUCCGCUCAUGCUAAUGCCACCGCCUGCUCACUUUGAUGUUCAGCCUCAGCAGCAGGCCAUGCUAAUGCAGGCUCCCCUGAAUCAUUCCUUCUCCCCCAAGUCAUCAGCUGGUAUAAAAAUAACACAUAACAUAUUCUCCCCCUUUUAACAAACAUCUAUCUUUUAUACCUGUAUUUAUUUGUUUCUGGUUACACACACAGGAGAAGGAGAUGGCUCUUUCUCGUCACAUGAUCAUGUCCGGAAUGCACUUGGUUUCAGGCGUGUUGUUAGAAGAAAUCGAACCUCAUCUCAGAAGCAGCAGCAGAAGAAGGAUGGUUAUAUUACCACGGAUAAGACCAAGCUAACCCCUGCUCAGGAGCAGCAGGUGAAAGACAUGGUCCAGACUAUCCGUUCACGCAGAAGUGGCAUAACCAUCUUUGUUGCUCUGAUUGGCAAGGCCAAUGUUCAUCCCGGAUUCUCCCUCGUGAGUAGCUCCCUCCAUAUUUAUUUGUUGCUUCGACCAUGCACAUUCAAGUCUGUUAACUUGCUUCUCUUUAUGGACAAACACACUACACUAUUUUUUAUGCUGUAAUAGUUUUUAUAACUGAUCAUACCUCAGUUUACAAAUACAUGCAAUAUUAUUUUACUUCUAACCUACUACCUCUUUGGUUUUAAUCUGUAACAGACUGUCCCAAUCAUGUACGGGCAGGAACAUUUUGGAGAUGGGAAAGUCAUCUGUUUCCAGCUAGGUGAGAAGAAAUGGAAUGCGAGCUUCAACGGUUCGCGCAAGUAUUAUCGGAUCGAAAGCGGAUGGAGGAGGUUUGUCCAGGACAACUGUUUGAAGAAGGGUGAUAUAUUCUAGAUAUAUGUUGGUGCGCUAGGUGGGCCUUCGUGUUUGCAGGCUGACGAAACCCCGUGCACCGUACUCUACUUGAUCAAAGGCCAGAAGGUGGACGUGGGAAAGGUGGUGAUAACUAUCUUUGAUUAACGAGCUAGUCAAGUAGAGGCAUACUAGGGACACGGUGUUUUGUCUAUGUAUCCACACAUGUAUCAAGUUUCCGGUUAAUACAAUUCUAUCAUGAAUAAUAAACAUUUAUCAUGAAUAAGGAAAUAUAAAAUAACAACUUUAUUAUUGCCUCUAGAGCAUAUUUCCUUCAUUCUCCCACUUGUACUAGAGUCAAUAACAUAUAUUACAAAGUAACGAUUCUAACACCCAUGGAGUCUUGGUGUUGAUCAUGUUUUGCUCGUGGAAGAGACUUAGUCAACGGGUCUGCCACAUUCAAAUCCGUAUGUAUUUUGCAAAUCUCCAUGUCUCCCUCCUUGACUAGAUCACAGAUGGAGUUGAAGCGUCUCUUGACGUGUUUGGUCUUUUUGUGAAAUCUGGAUUCCUUCGCCAAGGCAAUUGCUCCAGUAUUGUCACAAAAGAUUUUUAUUGGACCCGAUGCACUAGGUAUUACACCUAGAUUGGAUAUGAAUUCCUUCGUCAAGACUCCUUCAUUUGCUGCUUCUGAAGUAGCUAUGUACUCCGCUUCACACGUAGAUCCCGCCACGACGCUCUGCUUGGAACUGCAGCAACUCACAGCUCCACCAUUCAAUAAAAAUACGUAUCCGGUUUGUGACUUAGAGUCAUCCGGAUCAGUGUCAAAGCUAACAUCGGCAUAACCAUUUACGACGAGCUCUUUCUCACCUCCAUAAACGAGAAACAUAUCCUUAGUCCUUUUCAGGUACUUCAGGAUGUUCUUGACCGCCGUCCAGUGAUCCACUCCUGGAUUACUUUGGUACCUCCCUGCUAAACUUAUAGGAAGGCACACAUCAGGUCUAGUACACAUCAUAACAUACAUGAUAGAACCUAUGGCUGAGGCAUGGGGAAUGACUUUCAUUUUCUCUCUAACUUCUGCAGUGGUCGGGCAUUGAGUCUGACUAGACUUCACACCUUGUAACACAUGCAAUAACCCUUUCUUUUACUGAUCCAUUUUGAACUUCUUCAAAACAUUAUCAAGGUAUGUGCUUUGUGAAAGUCCUAUCAAGCAUCUUGAUCUAUCUCUAUAGAUCUUGAUGUCCAAUAUAUAAGCAGCUUCACCGAGGUCUUUCAUUGAAAAACUUUUAUUCAAGUAUCCUUUUAUGCUAGCCAGAAAUUCUAUAUCAUUUCCAAUCAACAAUAUGUCAUCCACAUAUAAUAUUAGAAAUGCUACAGAGCUCCCACUCACUUUCUUGUAAAUACAGGCUUCCCAGAAAGUCUGGAUAAAACUAUAUGCUUUGAUCACCUCAUCAAAGCGUAUAUUCCAAAUCCGAGAUGCUUGCACCAGUCCGUAAAUGGAUCGCUGGAGCUUGCACACUUUGUUAGCACAUUUAGGAUCGACAAAACCUUCUGGUUGCAUCAUAUAAAACUCUUCUUCCAGAAAUCCAUUAAGGAAAGCAGUUUUGACGUCCAUUUGCAUCAUAUAAAACUUUUGGUGUAGGCAUCAUGGGAACAGAUUUCUUGGAUGAGCUACUUUCCAAAUUGAGAGAAGGUACAAUUACCUCCUCAAGUUCUACUUUCCUCCCACUUACUUCUUUCGAGAUAAACUCCUUCUCUAGAAAAGUUCCAUUCUUGGCAACAAAGAUCUUGCCUUCGGAUCUGUAGGGUAUCCUAUGAAGACGCACUUCUCCGAUUUGGGUUCGAGCUUAUCAGGCUAAAGCCUUUUGACAUAAGCGUCGCAUCCCCAAACUUUAAGAAACGACAGCUUAGAUAUAUUGCCAAACCACAGUUCAUACGGUGUCGUCUCAACGGAUUUUGACAGUGCGCUAUUUAACGUGAAUGCAGCUGUCUCUAAUGCAUAACCCCAAAACGAUAGUGGUAAAUCGGUAAGAGACAUCAUAGAUCGCACCAUAUCUAAUAAAGUAUGGUUACGACGUUCGGACACACCAUUACACUGUGGUGUUCCAGGUGGCGUGAGUUGUGAAACUGUUCCACAUUGUUUUAAAUGACGGCCAAACUCGUAACUCAAAUAUUCACCUUCAUGAUCGGACCGUAGAAACUUUAUUUUCUUGUUACGAUGAUUCUCCACUUCACUUUGAAAUUCUUUGAACUUGUCAAAUGUUUCAGACUUGUGUUUCAUUAAGUAGAUAUACCCAUAUCUGCUCAAAUCAUCUGUGAAGGUCAGAAAAUAACGAUACCCGCCAUGAGCCUCAACACUCAUCGAACCGCAUACAUCGGUAUGUAUGAUUUCCAAUAAGUCACCGGCUCGUUCCAUUGUUCCGGAGAACAGAGUUUUAGUCAUCUUGCCCAUGAGGCAUGGUUCGCAAGUAUCAAAUGAUUCAUAAUCAAGUGAUUCCAAAAGUCCAUCUGCAUGGAGUUUCUUCAUGCGCUUUACACCAAUAUAACUUAAACGGCAGUGCCACAAAUAUGUUGCACUAUCAUUAUCAACUUUGCAUCUUUUGGCAUCAAUUUUAUGAAUAUGUGUAUCACCACAAUCUAGAUUCAAUAGAAAUAAACCACUCUUCAAGGGUGCAUGACCAUAAAAGAUAUUACUCAUAUAAAUUGAAUAACCAUUAUUCUCCGAUUUAAAAGAAUAACCGUCUCGCACUAAACAAGAUCCAGAUAUAAUGUUCAUGCUCAACGCUGGCACCAAAUAACAAUUAUUCAGGUCUAAAACUAAUCCCGAAGGUAGAUGUAGAGGUAGCGUGCCGACGGUGAUCACAUCGACCUUGGAACCAUUCCCGACGCGCAUCGUCACCUUGUCCUUAGCCAAUCUUCGUUUAAUCCGUAGUCCGUGUUUCGAGUUACAAAUAUGAGCAACCGAACCGGUAUCAAUACCCAGGCACUACUACGAGAAUUAGUAAGGUACACAUCAAUAACAUGUAUAUCAAAUAUACCUUUGUUCACUUUGCCAUCCUUCUUAUCCGCCAAAUACUUGGGGCAGUUCCGCUUCCAGUGACCAGUCCCUUUGUAGUAGAAUCACUCAGUUUCAAGCUUGGGUCCAGCUUUGGGUUUCUUCCCGGGAGUGGCAACUUGCUUGCCAUUCUUCUUGAAGUUCCCCUUCUUUCCCUUGCCCUUUUUCUUGAAACUAGUGGUUCUUGUUAACCAUCAACACUUGAUGCUCCUUCUUGAUUUCUACCUCCGCAGCUUUGAGCAUUGCGAAGAGCUCGGAAAUAGUCUUUUCCAUCCCUUGCAUAUUAUAGUUCAUCACGAAGCCUUUAUAGCUUGGUGGCAGUGAUCGAAGAACUCUAUCGAUGACACAAUCAUUUGGAAGAUUAACUCCCAGCAGAGUCAAGUGAUUAUGAUAUCCAUACAUUCUGAGUAUGUGUUCAUUGACAGAACUGUUCUCCAUCUUGCAGCUAUAGAACUUGUUGGAGACUUCAUAUCUCUCAACUCGGGCAUUUGCUUGAAAUAUUAACUUCAACUCCUGGAACAUCUCAUAUGGUCCAUGACGUUCAAAACGUCUUUCAAGUCCCGAUUCUAAGCCGUAAAGCGUGGAACACUAAACUAUCGAGUAGUCAUCAUAUCGAGCUUUCCAGACGUUCAUAACGCCAGCAUCUGCUCCUGCAGCAGGCCUUUCACCUAGCGGUGCAUCAAGGACAUAAUUCGUCUGUGCAGCAAUGAGGAUAAUCCUCAAGUUACGGACCCAGUCCGUGUAGUUGCUACAAUCAUCUUUCAACUUAGCUUUCUCUAGGAACGCAUUAAAAUUCAAGGAAACAGUAGUACGGGCCAUUGAUCUACAACAUAGAUAUGCAAAAACUAUCAGGACUAAGUUUAUGAUAAAUUAAGUUCAAUUAAUCAUAUUACUUAAGAACUCCCACUUAGAUAGACAUCCCUCAAGUCAUAUAAAUGAUACGUGAUCCAAAUCAACUAAACCAUGUCCGAUCAUCACGUGAGAUGGAGUAGUCAUCAAUCGUGAACAUCUCUAUGUUGAUCAUAUAUACUAUAUGAUCCACGUUCGACCUUUCGGUCUCCAGUGUUCUGAGGCCAUGUCUGUACAUGCUAGGCUCGUCAAGUUUAACCCGAGUAUUUUGCAUGUGCAAAACUGGCUUGCACCCGUUGUAUGUGAACGUAGAGUCUAUCACACCCGAUCAUCACGUGGUGUCUCAGCACGAAGAACUUUCGCAAUGACGCAUACUCGGGGAGAACACUUAUACCUUGAAAUUUAGUUAACGAAUCAUCUUAUAAUGCUACCACCAUACUAAGCAAAAUAAGAUGCAUAACAAUAAACAUCACAUGCAAUCAAAAUAUGUGACAUGAUAUGGCCAUCAGCAUCUUGUGCUUUUGAUCUCCAUCUCCAAAGCAACGUCAUGAUCUCCAUCGUCACCGGCUCAACACCUUGAUCUCCAUCGUAGCGUCGUGGUUGUCUCGCUAACUAUUGCUUCUACAACUAUCGCUACCGUUUAGUGAUAAAGUAAAGAAAUUACAUGGCGUUUGCAUUUCAUACAAUAAAGCGACAACCAUAAGGUUCCUGCCAGUUGCCGAUAACUUUUACAAAACAUGAUCAUCUCAUACAACAACGUAUAUCAAUCAUGUAUGGACCAUAUCACAUCACAACAUGCCCUGGAAAAAAAGUUAGAUGUCCUCUACUGUGUUGUUGCAAGUUUUACGUGGCUGAUACGGGCUUCUAGCAAGAACCGUUCUUACCUACAACACAAAAACACAAUGGUAAUUUAUCAAGUUUGUUGUUUUAACCUUAGGACCGGCCGCAGUCAAAUUCGAUUCAACUAAAGUUGGAGAAACAGACACCGCCAACUACCUUUAUGCAAAACUAGUUGCAUGUCUGUCGGUGGAACUGGUCUCAUGAAUGUGGUCAUGUAAGGUUGGUCCGGGCCGCUUCAUCCAACAAUACUACCGAAUCAAAAUAAGACAUUGGUGGUAAGCAGUAUGACGAUCAUCGCCCACAACUCUUUGUGUUCUACUCGUGCAUAUCAUCUAUGCAUAGACGUAGCAUGCAAUUUCAAAAAAAUUCCUACGCUCACGCAAGAUCUAUCUAGGAGAUGCAUAGCAAUGAGAGGGGGAGAGUGUGUCCACAUACCCUCAUAGACCAAAAGCGGAAGCGUUUGUUAACGCGGUUUUAUGUAGUCGAACUUCUUCUUGUUGCGACCAAUCAAGCACUGAACGUAUACGACACCUCCGAGUUCUACACACGUUCAGCUCGAUGAUGUCCCUCGAACUCUUGGUCCAGCAAAGUGUCGAGGGAGAGUUGCGUCAGCACGACAGCGUGGUGAUAGUGAUGGUGAAGUGAUACGCACAUGGCUUUGCCUAAGCACUACGUAAAUAUGAUCGGAGGCGUAAACUGUGGAGGGGGCGCCGCACACGGCUAGGAAUCAAUGAUGUGUGUUCUAGCGGUACCCCCUACAUAUAUAUUGGUGGGAGAGGGAGAGGGGCAGCAAGGGCGCCCCAAGUAGGAGUAAUCCUACUUGGGCGCCUCCCACAAGUCGGCCUCCCCCUUCCAUAUGUGUCGGAGGGGGAAGGAAAGAGAGGGGGGAGAGAAGGGAAGGGGGAGGCCGAAUCCUCCCCUUUCCUGCUCCCUUCGUUCCUUUCCUCCCCCCCCCCAAUUCGGCCUACAUGGGGGGCACACAAGCCCCUUAGGGGCUGGUCUGUCCCCCUCUUGGCCCAUUAGGCCUAUGUAGUUUGCCGGGGGUUGCCCAGAACCCCUUCCGGUGACCCGAUAUGUACCCGGUACCCCCGGAACACUUCCGGUGUCCGAAUACUAUCGUCCUGUAUAUGAAUCUUUACGUCUUGACCAUUUAUAGACUCCUCGUCAUGUCCGUGAUCUCACCCGGGACUCCGAACAACAUUCGGUCACCAAAUCACAUAACUCAUAUAAUACAAAUCGUCAUCGAACGUUAAGCAUGUGGACCCUACGGGUUCGAGAACUAUGUAGACAUGACCGAGACACCUCUCCGGUCAAUAACCAAAAGUGGAACCUGGAUGCUCAUAUUGUCUCCCACAUAUUCUACGAAGAUCUUUAUCGGUCGAACCGUUAUGACAACAUACGUUAUUCCCUUUGUCAUCGGUAUGUUACUUGCCCGAGAUUUGAUCAUCGGUAUCUUCAUACCUAGUUCAAUCUCGUUACCGGCAAGUCUCUUUACUCGUUCCAUAAUGCAUCAUCCCGCAACUAACUCAUUAGUCACAUUGCUUGCAAGGCUUCUUAUGAUGUGCAUUACCGGGAGGGCCCAGAGAUACCUCUCCGAUACUCGGAGUGACAAAUCCUAAUCUUGAUCUAUGCCAAGCGAACAAACACCUUCGGAGAUACCUGUAGAGCAUCUUUAUAAUCACCCAGUUACGUUGUGACGUUUGAUAGCACACAAGGCAUUCCUUCGGUAUCUGGGAGUUGCAUAAUCUCAUAGUCGGAGGAAUAUGUAUUUGACAUGAAGAAAGCAAUAGCAAUAAAACCGAACGAUCAUUAUGCUAAGCUAACGGAUGGGUCUUGUCCAUCACAUCAUUCUCCUAAUAUGAUCCCGUUCAUCAAAUGAUAACACAUGUCUAUGGCUAGGAAACUUAACCAUCUUUGAUUAACGAGCUAGUCAAGUAGAGGCAUACUAGGGACACGGUGUUUCGUCUAUGUAUCCACACAUGUAUCAAGUUUCCGGUUAAUACAAUUAUAGCAUGAAUAAUAAAUAUUUAUCAUGAAUAAGGAACUAUAAAAUAACAACCUUAUUAUUGCCUCUAGGGCAUAUUUCCUUCAGAAGUGGUAUGAUAUGAUGUGAUUGUGGUCAGCGGUGCUCAACGUCGUUGGUGCUCAACAUUAGAUGAUUUCGGACCUUUAGAUUUGGUGAUUAUACGGUUUAGAUGAUGAGUUGGAUCUGUUCUUUCGUGCUUUUAUGGGGCAGGAGACUAGCAAAAAGAGUCGUGUGUUGCAACGGGAGAUUUUUUUUAUCACAUUUGAUUCGAUUUAAGGCCGUGCGUCUCCCCACCGCUACAGAUUCCCACCGCGCAGGCCGAGCUGAGACCCAGCCACACACUGGCCGUCGCGGACACCGCCGUGUGGUCGACCUGUACCUCGACGCGGCCUAUGACUGCUCCUCCGAAGCCAUGGCGGUCUGCGCGGCGCAGAAGAGGUGGAGCCGGUGCGCCGUGAAGCCGGUGAGGCGGGAGCGGCACUCGAUGUGCUGGAGCUCCUCUCCUUGCAGUUGCGGCGACACUUGACAUGCAGGAGCUCUUCUCCUACCAUUGUCGCCGGUGGGAUGUGUGGUGGAUGGAGUCAUGGAUGUGUCGGUGGUUGAUGAGAGAGAGAGAGAGAAACAAAAAGGUGGGAUGAGUGGGUGAGUGGUGGUCCAGGUCGGACAAGGACAAACGAGAGACAACGUCCGCUUCGAUCCAAAUCUGACCCAAAUUUACCGAAAAAGGCUUUCGCCCCGCUUUAUAUUAUAAAGAAAAUCGCCCGAGCCAAACAUCCAACAAGGUUCACACACACACACACAAGUCUCAUACACAAAUAAGGUAGCAAAAGGGUUAAUGCUGAGGGCACAGCUCCACAAGCCCUGGAAACAAAGCAACACACUCACACAAAGCAACACGUGCAUCAUGUCUAAUCGGGUUCCGGCGGAGGGGGCAGAAGCGGAGGCGCCACGCGGAAGGCUAUCGAGCGAAGUUCGGCGAGGAGGGUGUUGAUGACGUCCCGGUCCUGGGGGCGGCAAAGUGGCCACCAUAGCUACAAGUAACCACACAUUUUGAAGAUCGCGUCAGUCGCACGUCGAAGAGGCACUUUCUGAAUAACAAGCUUGUUGCGGAUGGUCCAAAGCGUCCAGGCGAGGACCCCAAUGCACAUCUAGGGAUGAAAAUGGAAUGGGAACUUUCGUAUUUCCGGAGGAGAAACGCAAACGGAGAGGAAAUAUGAAAAAGGAAACGGAAAUUUGCAAAACGGAAGUGGAAGUGAAAUUUUUUAUGCGGAAAUGGAAACAAAAACGGAAUGGUGUUUUCCGGUGGAAUAGGCAUGGAAACGAACUUUUCAUUUCCGUGAAUAUGGAAUUUCCAUUUUUACUAUAGACCUAUGACUGCUUUGUAGUCCAACCACCAAACGACACACAAUUAUACAAUGAGUAGAAUGGAUCAUUUGAGCCCAACUUCUAUUACCACACAUGUACUCAGCUUGACCAUAUACACAAUUGUCCAGUACUACUACAAUACUACACUAAGUUGCUAACAUAAACAUAAUGGUAUUAUUUUGUAGCCAUGUUAACAAUUCAUUAAAUUUGUUUGUGUUUUGCAUGCAUUUCUCUUUGAUUCAAGGGUUUUUAAGUUACGGUCAAUUCCCACUUCUGUUUUCGUGUCUGCUUUGUAUUCGCUCCGUGUCCGUUUCCGGUAGUAUCUGUUUCUGUAUUCAUUUUCGGGGUUUCUGUAUUCGUUUCCACUUCUGCAAAAAUAUAUGAAAACAAAUAUGGUAGCACUUAGUUCCGUCCGUUUUCGCUCCGUUUUCAUCCCCAUACACAUCCAUCUAAUAUGGCGGUAGCGCCGGGGGGGGGGGGAGGCGUGGAUCUCCGCAAGUAAGUCGGGGAACUUGGUGUUGCACCACUGCCCACCGACUGUCUCGCGGAAGAAGGACCACAGGAAUUGGGCAGUGGAGCAGGAGAAGAAGAUGUGGUUAGUAUCCUCCACCGUGCCGCACAAGGGACACAUCCCAUCUCCUGGUCCAUUACGCUUGAGGACCUCUACCCUAGAGGGAAGGCGUCCCCGGAUCCACUGCCACAGGAAGAUCCUGAUCUUUAGGGGAAGACGAAUCUCCCAGAUCAGGCUAAAGUGCUCAGGGGCCUACGAAGGAGCGAUGGCCGCGUAUAAAGACAUAGUGGAGAAGCGGCCAGAUGGCUCCAGGCGCCAAGAAAUGGAGUCAAGGGCGCCCUCGAUGUCCAUCAGAAGAAGAGCGGUAUCCUGGAGGAGGGAGUCCCAAGCGGCCACCUCAAGAGGGCCAAAGGGGCGCUGGAAGGCAAGACACCUUAAGUCAAUAAGGGCCGUCACGACGGAAACCCGAGGGUCAACUGCUAUGGCGAAUAGGUCUGGGAAGCAAGCGGCCAGGGGGGAGCCCCUAGCCAGCGGUCGAACCAGAACAGGGUUGAGGACCCGGAGCCAACCGAGAUGGACGUGCCUAUGUGGAUCACGGGUAAAAGCUGAAUCACAGCCUGCCAGAACUGGGAGCCACCAGAGCGUUGACAAAAAGCUAGGGGUUGUCCCCGAAGGUACUUGUUUCUGAUGAUAGUAAGCCAGAGGCCGCCCUCCCCAUUGGCGAUUCGCCAGAGCCAAUGAGUCAAGAGAGCAAUGUUCAUGCACCNNNNNNNNNNNNNNNNNNNNNNNNNNNNNNNNNNNNNNNNNNNNNNNNNNNNNNNNNNNNNNNNNNNNNNNNNNNNNNNNNNNNNNNNNNNNNNNNNNNNNNNNNNNNNNNNNNNNNNNNNNNNNNNNNNNNNNNNNNNNNNNNNNNNNNNNNNNNNNNNNNNNNNNNNNNNNNNNNNNNNNNNNNNNNNNNNNNNNNNNNNNNNNNNNNNNUUGGGUUUGCAAAUGUUGGUCCAGCUUACCAUAUGGUAUUUCUUCUUGUCCCCCUUGCCUGCCCAGAAAAUCCUAGACUGGUACUUGGCGAUCUCCUGAUGGAGCGUCUCAUGGAGGCUGUAGAAGCUCAUGAGGAACCAUAGGAGGCUGGCAAGCGAGGAGUUGAUGAGGAUUACCCAGGCCGCCUUCGAGAGCCACUGCCCCUUCCAGGGCUCAACCCGGUGUUGCAUCCGGUUCACUGUCGGGCGUAGGUCAGCCACGGUGAGUCGCGAGUCACUAAUGGGUAUCCCCAAAUACGUCGUGGGGAAAGUACCCAAGCGGCAGUUAAGCCGGUCAGCUAUGGCUUGGGCCUCCUCCGGAUGAUAGCCAAGGAUCAUCACUUCGCUCUUAUCGAAGUUGAUAGUGAGCCUAGACAUCUGUUGGAAGCAUAGGAGGAGGAACUUCAGGUUGGCAAUAUCGUUUGCGGAGCCCUCAACCAUUAUUGUGGCGUCGUCAGCAUAUUGGAGGAGGGAGACCCCUCCCCCUCCUACCAUGUGAGGGACAAUGCCGUGGAUAUGGCCAGCAGAUUUGGCCUUAUCCAGGAUGACCGCUAGGGCAUCGACCAUCAUGUUAAAUAGAAACGGGGAGAACGGGUCGCCCUGGCGAACCCCACAAAGCAUGGGGAAGAAGGGCCUGACCUCACCGUUAAUGUUAACCGCGGUCCGACCGCAGGAGACGAGCUGCAUAACUCUGGUCACCCAGCGGUCAUCGAAGCCCUUGUGGAGCAAGACUUCCCAAAGGAAGGGCCAAACAGGUCGAAGGGAACACAAAAUAGACAUGCAGACGAAAUGUUCUCUGUGAUGGGCUGUGUUUUUUGGCCUCAUAGAUUGAAAUGGACAAAAGGGAAAUGGGCCCAAGGACAGGUGCUCCAAGUUUGAGAGUCAUGUUUUUUGGUACACAUUCUGAGUUGAAGUUUGAGGAUGCUUUGGACGGCCCUCACCUCUCGCGCGACGACCACGAACGCAGAAACGUACGCCCACACACCCACGCAGAGAAAAUCGAAAGGCGAAAUUCCCCACGGAUCUAAGCCAGCGCAAAAAUCUAAAAGAAGCUGCACAUUCUCCACUCUCCACCUCCUCCCCCGACUUGCCCCCACCCCUCUCCGACGACCAACCCAGCGCCACCCUGUCCACCGGAUGCUGCCCUCUCCAGCGAUCCCGGCGCCUCCGUCUCCAGCGCACAGCCCCCUCUCCGCAACCACCGUCUCGUCUAUGAACCCCCCCCUCUCCAAAACCCUAAACUUUGUCUACUUCGAGAUCUAUCUGCCCCUUGUUUUUGUUGGCCAAGUAGUAUUUUUAUUGGAAAUUGCAGAGUUUUCUUUUUGUCUUGAACUAAGGAGAGGAGAUAUCAAAUAGCGAGGAUCACCAAUUCGAGUCCAAGUCUGACUCUGUCGCCCCAAUGAGGAUUUUUUUCCUGCGAGUUGUCGUAAUCUUGGAUGAAAGUGUGAAUCUGCGUCACAAUUGCGUGUAUAUAUACAUUUGCUACUGGCCAUGCCAUCUAAGCAAAAAAAUAGCACGACUUAUUAUUGUAUGGAUUAGUUCAGCUACAGAAUUCAGGCUCUGGUUUAGGAUUGUGCACUCUUUUUGUUCAUGGAUCAACUGGUCGAAUCCGGCAUGCCAUUAACACUAGAUUGAGAUUUUUUUUCCUUUUGAUUGAUACCAUCAUUCUUUAAAUCCCCUUACCAAAUUUCAGUUAUAGCUCCAAAGCGAAUAGUUGAAUUAGUACUAAUCAUGUAGGUACGAGUGGUUAGUUAACAUUUAUGGUAAUGAAUUUUUAUGUGUUCACUUCAAACCUGCAUCUGGUUUUGUUCUAUAGCACCUUUAUCUAAGACUAUGUUCUGGGUUACCAGAAAAUAAAGCUAGCAUGCGAACUUUAGUUUCUUUCUUAUGGCCAUGAGAUAGUGGUACAUGCCCUCUCCUACCUGGUUUUUUUUAUUUUUAUUUUUAUUUUCUAUAGUACACAAUUGAACAACUGUAUGUGGCAACUACAAAAAUAUUUCCUCCGUCCGGAAAUUCUUGUCAUCAAAAUGAAUAAAGGGGAUGUAUCUAGACUUAAUUUAGUUUGAGAUACAUCUUCAUUUAUCCAUUUUGAUGAGAAGUAUUUUCGGACGAAGGGAGUACUUAUUUGCAUUUGAAACAUGUAUAAUCUUAUUAUUUAGAUAUUUGUGAGUAUGAAGCAAAAGAAAGGUGUUAGUGCAAGAGCCCUCCGAAUUCUCUCAAAAGUACAAAAUGUACUGCAAUAGCAACACAAAAAUUAUAUCAUGGACACGUUUUAAGAAAAGUAAUAUUUUUUAUUUCAUUCGGCUGAUAUGCAAGUAAAUGAUUCAGAAAUGAUAAAUUACAUUCAGUUUCAGACUCUUUUUUCCCAUCUGCAUGGUCUCUUGUUAGUUCUGCUUAAGAUAAUACUCUCUCCGUCCCAAGUUGUACUAAAUCAAAGGCAAUUGUUUUGGGACGGAGGGAGUAGUUGCUACAUUUCUAUAAUACAAAGCGAAAAAAAUCAAAAGAAACCAUUUUAGGUGAACAUUAGCUGCUCACUUUAAUAUCUUAUUAUUAUUCAUCUGUUUUAAAUGCUCAUCUGCAUAUCUUGAUACCUUAACACUGACUCCGGCGCAAUGCCCCCAUCCAAGGAUGACAAAUUUUGUAUCAGACCCUGCUGGAGUGGUAAUUAAUUACAAGAAGUUGUGGCUCCGGUGUCUCCAUUUUUUUAGCCUCUCUUUCUCCAAAAAUCAAGUUGUUCCAUGGAAGAUGUUUAACAACGCGCCCAUCAAGCAUGCCCACUUGGUGGUGCUUGAUAGAGUUUGGUCCCGUUGCACGCACAAUUCCACUCUACCUAACUUUACAAAAAAAUUACUGUGUUUUUCUCUCCCUGUUUCUUUUGAUUGCUGCUAUAAUAUACAUGUAUUGUUUUCAGGGACAUCAAUCAUGUAUAUUGCCAAAUACCUGAAGAACGAGAAUGUACUUAACGGAUGUGGUGGUGUGUCAAGAAGAUGCAUGCUUUCCAUGAGGCAUGGCCUGAAGGUCCGCAACAUUAUAGCUUUCUUUCAAAAAGAAGCAUUAUUGCUUUUUUGUUUGAGUUAGUAUAACUCUUACGACGGUCUAUCCCCCUUUUGAUAUGGCUGCAAUGAAUGUUAGAAAAAAAAAGACUCUGUGUUCUCUCUUUCUAUAUCAUCACAAGAUUAUUUUUGUACUAGCUUGAUUGAAGUUUAAAAAGGUGCCCAAGCGUCGGUAAGGUGAGAUGGUACACUUUUGUGGCGACGACAAUUGCUACAAGGGUGGAUGAAGGUAAUGAAAGCGGAGGGGAAGAUGUGGCGGGACAAACAUGCCACGUUGUCUUCUUGCAAGGAGUGAUGGUUGUCGAGGAGGAAAAAAGUGGGAGAGUGAAUUUAUAUGCGUUGCUAUAUAGAUGGAAACCAUGACAUCACACUAGCCACAUAAGUCUGAAUUAGAUCAAUUGUUUACUUGGUUUGUCGACGACUUUUUAUUCCAUGGAAAUGCAUGAGCAAUAAACUAGUUGAACUUUAAUAACUGAAUUUGAAAAUAGGUUUCUUAACAUGCUCCCUCUUACCUCCCCUUUUCACAUGAGAGGUAAGAGUAUAAAAUAGAUUUGAGCCGUUAAUUGCAUUAGGUCUGCUUCUACACAUUUAAUAUGAUGACAUGGUGAUGAUUGCCCUGUCGGUUUGGACUAUAAUAAAGUUAACAUACCAGCUAAUAUAUAUCGUCCAUGUUCCGUAUGGUUGAAGUAUUUUUGGAAAUGUUAGUUUUUGUGCCUUCUCCCCUUUUAAGCACCCCACCCCAUACAUACCCACUAAAUGACAAAAGGCAAAUACACAGAUAAUGUGUAAUCUUAGUUUGUGUUCGUGUACAUCUAAUUUAGCAAGCAGUAAAAGUACGGAAGCUGCAUUUUGAACUAAUGCCAAUGAUUUAACAUCUUUACCUUACCUUUCAAAAGAAAAUCUUUGUACACUAUGUUUUUGAUCAUACCAUCUUUGUUCGUUUCUUCAUCAUCUACAAUUAUCCAUAGACCAUCUCUUCGUGUGACUCUUGGGAUAGCCACAUAUAGUUGUCCGUGCAUGUAAACUUGUUUUCGCAGAUAUAGUCCUACUUUGUUUAGAGAUUGCCUUUGACUCUUGUUGAUUGUCAUACCAAAGCACACCAAUAUAGGAUAUUGUCUUCUUUGUAGCAAGAACGGCCAUGCCAAUUCAGUCAGUGACAUUAUUAUUCUUGGAAUAUAUACCUUCUCACCUACAUGUGUUCCUGUGAUAAUCUGUGCUUCGAUAUACAUCUUCCAAGUUAUAUUAUUGUCAUCCGUGUACCAUAACCCAGCACUUUGGUUAAUAGUAUGUAGUAGCAUCACAGGUAGUCCUACUUUCAGCCUGAGCUCAUAAUUUGGUAUUCCGGGAAAUUUUAGGCUGUUUAGGAACUCUGUUGGAUAUAGCAUAUGUGUAUCAUCACUUAGAGUAAUCGCUUUGCAUACAGUGUCGCAGCUUCAAUAUAGUGUUUCCUCGCCUUCUAUUUUAUCCAUUAUAUAUUCAAUGAUCAUGCUUAACAUGUAUGUCAGAUUAUGAGAAAUAGUAAAUAACAGUUCAUUAUAAUUUAGCAGAUUAUUACUUGCUUGUGUUCUUCCAAAGUAUUCUGUUUCCUUUAUGCCUCACAUGAAUUCCUUGAGCUUUAUGUGGAACACUCAAUCAACAAUGUCAGGUCGGCCUGAUGCCGUUUGCCCUACCUAAUGUAGCAUAGAUUGUAUUUUGGCCAUGCUGCAUUGCAUGUGAAUGUCACAAACAGGUCGGGUUGUUGGAAUUAAACACGACUAAUCCCCCAUUGGACGGUGUGUGUCCUUUUCAGGGUACAUGCAUGUAUCUGAGUAGGGCUAGAGUUAGUCACCGAAUAGUAUUUGGUAGCUAGCUUGUUUUAUUUAUACAUGUGUACCCCGUCUUGUAAAUCACAUCGCAAGUUGAAGCAAUAGAGAAAUAACAGGAACGACAUGUUCAUGUCGCUAUCAAACAAUCGAGUGUCUCACGUGCGUGCGUGUGUUUCAUUUCCGGCAGGCUGGUCGUAGUUUGCGUGCAUGUGUGUUCUCGAGUUGGUUAUGAUAGAUUUGCGUAGAUCGAUCAGGAGCAUAUUAGUUAGGGGAAGCUAACUUUAAACUGCGGGUGGAUCGAUGCACUAAUAUGCAUUUAUUGGACCUUCAUAUAUCUUACCUUUUUCUCUUGGCACAUUUGUCUGGCACUUAAUUUGCAUCUGGCUUCAGUUGUAGUUUUCUUUUCUCAGCCGACAUUGCUUUGUAGUUACUUAGAACAAAUGAGUUUCACUGUGUAAUAUAAAAAUAAGAUUAGAAAGUGUAAUAUGUUUAAAAUGGAAGAAUAAAUAUAAUUUGAUCAAAAUGCGAAUAAUCAGUUACCUUUCCUGGUUUGUAUUCUGUUCAAUUCGCAUAGCAGUGCAUUGAGGCACAUCUACAUGUAAUAGUGAAGGCUUUCCCCUUUUCAUGUCUUGAAGUUUCUUUAUCCUUGCUAACCUUGCAAUCUUGGCUUUCCCUCUGGAUUUAUAUGAAUCAUCCAAAAUUCAGGUAUAUUUUUUUAUCGAAGCAUAAACCAAAGUCUUACGGCCUAUUAUAUUGCUGACAUGUAAAUUCAUGUGAUGUCCUAUUUUGUUGUUGUUUGAUAACUUGAUAUAAUGUAACACUCAUCAGUUUAUUUCCCUGCCACGAUACUUGGACGAAGACACAAACCAAUAAGAACUUUGGUCUGUUUUGGUUUAGUUAAAGAGGUUUAGCUGGUAUUGGAUGGAGGUGUAAAACUUAAUAUACUACUUCCAAGUUAGUUUUUAGUAUACUUCUUAUGGCCUCGUAACAAUCUCGCAUAUCAUUAAUGCCUCUAAUAUUUAGUUAGGUGGUUUUGAAUGAUUUUUUUGUGUGUAUGUUGAUUAAUGGGUAGGUGGUGGUUGUACUGAUCCUGUAUGUGCCGCUGUGAAAGAUGCAUGGUCAAUAGCGUAAUUGGUACUCCAUCCGUCCGGAAAUACUCGUCGGAGAAAUGCAUCAAAAUGGAUAUAUCUAAAACUAAAAUACGUAUAGAUAUAUUUAUUCCUCCGACAAGUAUUUCGGGACGGAGGGAGUAUAUUAUUGUUAUUUAGUAAUUGUAAGCACCAUAAGAGGUUCCACGUUAAAUCUGGAGGUUAGAAAAUUCCAUCCGUAGGAUUAACUAAUGACGGAAAAAUAACCAUCGG